GCGGCGAACGAACACAUUGUCCCCCCUUCGGUCGGUCGCGGCUCCCCUUCGGUGGUGGGUCGCGGCUUGCCGUCUCCUUCCGUCACGAGCUCCCUCACGAGCCUCGGGGCGGGGGGUUCCACCACGAUGCUUUCACCGAAUGACUGAGUCCCGAAUGCUUGGAUUAAUGGGAGCUGUGAGUUUCGUCCCCUCGAGCGGCCUCGGCUUGCGGAGGGGGGCGGCGCGCGCUGGUUACCUUAGGACGAGUUGGAACACAUAAUGGAAAACAACUCUCAGCAACGGAUAUCUUGGCUCUUGCAACGAUGAAGAACGCAGCGAAAUGCGAUACCUAGUGUGAAUUGCAGAAUUCCGCGAAUCAUCGAGUCUUUGAACGCAAGUUGCGCCCGAGGCUUGUCCAAGGGCAUUUCCGCUAGAGCGUCACCGCGCCCCCCACCGAUCCCCGCUCCCGCUGGGCUUCGAGUGGAAGUGGCCGUCCCCGGUCUUGGCCUUCGCCAAGUGGAGGGUCGGCUGAAAUGGAGGGAAUGGGACCGCCGUGGUGACACAGUCCGCGAUCGGGUGAUUCUUCGUGAAUUUUUCUAAGUGCGUGGCUGCGUCCCCCAGUUGGUUCCCUCGUGUGCAUGGUUACCUCAUGAAUGAAUGCAGGUUUCGUCCCGC
rnacentral:misc_RNA from 1 species